GAUCCUGGCUCAGAUUGAACGCUGGCGGCAUGCCUUACACAUGCAAGUCGAACGGUAACAGGUCUUCGGACGCUGACGAGUGGCGAACGGGUGAGUAAUACAUCGGAACGUGCCCAGUCGUGGGGGAUAACUACUCGAAAGAGUAGCGUAAUACCGCAUACGAUACUGAGGAUGAAAGCGGGGGACCUUCGGGCCUCGCGCGAUUGGAGCGGCCGAUGGCAGAUUAGGUAGUUGGUGGGAUAAAAG
rnacentral:rRNA from 1 species